AAGGAAAAAGUUUCAAAGAUGCCUUAUAGAAGCUAAAACGAAAUUGUUUGAGAUGGAACAAAACAUGUGUUUGAUGGAUUAAGAUAUGGGGAAAAAUCACAAAGGAGCUUACUGGCAAAUCAGAUUGUUGGUGUAAAUUCUAAAUUGCUUCAACAGGCAUUGCAAAAUAUAGAGAUGCCCUCCAAGAGACAAGAAGACUCGUCAUGAUCUUCCAAAUGUCUUCAAGAAAU
rnacentral:misc_RNA from 1 species